UUAAAAACAAACUUUGUAUUUAUAAUCUAAGCACUGUACCCAGGGGUACAGACGCUCUUUUCUUAACCUGUGUGUUAUAUAAUUUUUUUUAACAUUGGCUUUAAUAAAAUUUGUAAGUAUGUUAAAAUACACAAAGUACCUUGCUAGCUUUUAAAGCAUGCUGGCUGAUAAUUAUGGAUGUUGAUUUUUGCUCAAAAAUUGGAUAUAAUGGAGGGUGGAAUUUGAAGGAAUUUCUACCAUGAACAACUCUGCACACAUGACUGAAGUUCCUAAUGAGUGGUCCCUGCUAGAGUCAGAAUAUUUGGAUUGAUAGCAUUUCCUAUAAGAGGUUAGAUUAUUGGUCCAUGUUUACAUGGAUAUAGAUGUUUUGAUUGAUUGAUUUUUUUUUUUUUUUUUAUUUUGGAGAGAGAAACAUUUAGGGGUGGAGCAAAAAGAAUGCUAUAAAACCGUAAAGUUCACUGGGAAGACUAUUUUAAUUUCUGUUAACCGUUUAAAUCAGUGUGCUGUUUAUAUUACAUUGUAUUGGUAAAUUGUAACUGUAUUUAGGAUAUUAGUUAUUGGUUUCAGAGUAGCAGCCGUGUUAGUCUGUAUUCG